GAGGAGACAUGGCCCCUUUCAAACAGCCACCUCAGUUCUCUUUUACUGCCCUAUCCUUUCGCCGGGUUUCUCCUUUCAACCUUGAGAGAUAACUGACAUGGGCUUAGGAUACUCAGUCAUUCUGGAAUUCUGUAUCAGCACUGAAACAUGAGUGGGGAAAUUCUAAGAAAUUUACUUCUCUUUUUCUUUUCAUAUUUUCCUCAUUCCAAAGUGGAACUAAAUCGAGGUUCCCUAGCAACCCAGGGCUCUGUGAAGAUUCAUUAUUCUAUAAAAUCCCACCACCUUACAAACACAAAAUGUUACAAGUUGCCCAGUCACCCCGGCUUCUGAGAUGAAGAAUAUUAUUGAAGUCAAAUCUGGUGGCUAUCACACUCCAUGGAACUUGGGGCAACAUUUAGGUACCUCUACCCAGGAAAGAAUCUCUGAGAAAUAGGUGGCAGUUUCUCUAGCAGCAUAAGAAGAACCUUGAUAAGCAUCAUCCUUAAGUCCUGACAGCAGUGGAUGACUAGUCAGGAACCUGUCCAGGAAUAUCCAGCACAAUAAGCAUUGAAGAAACAAAUGGCAACGCAAGCUUAAAGAAUUCCAAGCCAUUAUGAACUGACUCUUCAAAUAAGUGCUUAUUUUCACAUAACCAGGGAGUUUCUGGAUUAACUUCCAUAUAAGACAUAUUUAUUAAAAGAUUUGCACCCCUAUUGCUGGCACUGGGUGGACCUCCCCAAACGCUCUGCCCUUGGUGCUCUUCUGCCGGUUAUUCUCGUCCAUGACCCCAGAGCCAGGGAGAAUCUCACCAGUGCAGCCCAGGGCACUUCUGAUAACAUCUGAGCAGAGUGAAGGAGAAGAAACGCACGAGGCAGGCAUCUCAUUUAUGGAAGUGCUCCUCUGGGUCAAGCCCUCUGCCAAUAAUUUUCAUGCAUAAUGGCCCUUUCAUUCUCCCCAAAAAUUCUUCAAGGGAGGGUGAUAAUCCCAGGAUAUGGAAACAAGGAAAAGCAGACUACAAGAAGUUAAGUGACCUCCCCAAUGACCCGCUGCUCAUAAAUGGUAGUAUCAGAAUUAAAACCCAGAUGAGGCUGCCCAGGACUGAGGUUUGUGUUACCCCCCGAAGGUGCGCACCAUGGAGAAUGGCCUGGAGUUUCCUGGCUGCAUGUAAGUGCAGGAAGACAUGCUAAGGGUACCACCGCUCUCAGUAGAGCAAGCACACUUCUCUCGGGCUCUUUCCUGAAUUCAAGUAAUCACACCUCGCACACCAACCCACUGCCAAGAAAGAGCUUUUAUUUGACUCAGGAGGUAGAGAAAGUUUCACUGAAGGAUUUCUAAAUUUGUUCUCUUUCUUUCUUCCUUCCUUUUCUUUCUUCCUUCUUUCCUUCCUUUCUCUUUUCUUUCUUUUGUUCAUUCUCUUUCAUUUUUCUUUCUUUUUUUCUUUCUCUUUCUUUCCCUUGUCCAUUCAUUCGCCUUUCCUUUCUUUAUUUUUCUUGGCUUUUUUCUUUCAUUUCUUUAUAUUCCCCUCUUUCGCUUUCUCUGAAUUUUUAUGUCUCUUUUUUGUUCUUUUUUAUUCCCUUUUUAACCCACUUCCUUAACAACAUCUGUAUCUCGGGUGAAAUUGCUGGAACUGUCACAUUAAGUUCCAGAGAAUUUCUCAUUUGGGACCUUGCAUAUCACACAUGGCUCCAAGGGGCUGAUGGAUUCCUUUUAUGUCCUCUUUACUACUAAAGUUUAUAGGGAACAUCUUGCGUCUCUCUCUUUUCUCUGCUACAUUAAAAAUGAUCAUCUAGCUCUCCAUAUGGCCAAAGUUUGAGGUCUUGCUUACUGGUUAGUAUUGAUUAGUACUUAUUCAUAACUGGUAUAAUAUUUUUCCUACAGAGUACAAAUUGCAAUUUGCAGUAUCAGACCUUAGAAAGCUUUGGACCACAUAAUAAAUGCAAGAUUUGACAAACA
rnacentral:lncRNA from 1 species